GUUACUAGAGGAGAUGAAAAGCUCUGUGCAGAGGAAUCCAGGAUGCUGGAAAGCUGGGGAAUUUAAUACAGAGCUGGCUCUGCUCCAUCCUGGAUCUUCUUUAUGUUCUUUGACAAUGUGCCAGAAACCCUGACAAUGAACCGCUGUCUCCGACUAAUUGUUCUAGUGGAGAUGUCUCCUGUUUGACUUGAUUUUAAACUGUGGAGCACGUCAAGAGGAAGCUCACUGAUCUGCCGAGGGUUUGUGCUUUUCUGUCUUCAUGCAUCUGUUGUGGGUGAAGAGAGCAAAGAUUCUUCAUUCAGUCAAAGGCCCCCUUUGGAGAUGCUGAGAAGGAAAUUUCCUUUGGAAAUUCCCAAAGGAACUGGGCUCUCUCUCUCUCUCUCUUUCUCUCUCUGGUUGCAUUUCACCAGCUAAGGAGUUGCAUUGGCUUCUGCUCUCCUGUCUUGCUCACCUACAUUGUGAGGCAGAUGAGAGUGGAGGCUGUAAAUCACCCUCUAUGCAAUGGCUUAUCAUAAAGGAUAUGGAGCAAAAUUAGAGGAGGCACGAGAAGGAAAGCUGGUGAUGAACAAGGAAAGUGCCUGGUUGAAGCUAGCUUGCAAUCCCA
rnacentral:lncRNA from 1 species